GUUCAUGUCUGCAUCUUUCGCUUGUGCUUAGGCAUUUUAAGCUUCUCAUCCACAGUCAAGGCUUCAUCACCUCAGCGGGGAUUAAAUAAGGCACUAUAUAACCAGUAGAAGAAAUGAUGGUGCACUGUCAAUAUUCAUCAAGGACCAACCAAACAUAUCAGAUACUAAUUUCUCAAAGUAAGCGUUUACUAGCGGAGCUUUGUCUGGCUUGAUCAUUUUAUCUUGCCAAUCCAUCUAUCUGCUUAGGCUAUGACGUCUCAGUUUAUCUUGACUUUGCUCUGGUAAGAGUAUUGGACUGUGGAGGCUUCAAUACUAGUAUUGAACUGUGGAGUAAGCUGAUAUAUAUAUAACUAGCGUUCUACACGGCAAAUAUCUACCAAAUUGGGGGAGGGGAUGUACAUACCACUUGAUAUUUUAAUGCAGACGAGGACAAGAAAAUAUCAGUUUUUGGGAGAUAUUGACACUAUCGUUAAGGGAUGGUUAGUCAAGACUACUACUAAAAGGUUCUUGCCAUCUUUGUCAGAAUUCUACUACGAUAUGUAGUAGUUCAAGUUUUCAUAUUAAGGUGUUGUUCGUUGGUUAGAGAUUGUGACUGAAAUUUAUCGUCUCUUAACUAGUUCAGUGACAUUGAUGGAUGAUCAGUUUAAGCAAGUGGAGCUCUGUGGUUCGGCGGCAAGUCUUAAACUCUGGUGAUCGGGAAGACAAAUGUGCUGGUUGAUGGAAGAUGACAGUACCUCCGGGGAUGAGCAAGCUUGCAGAGCAGCAGAGACUAUGUCAUCGAAGAGAUGAGUCUAUGGCGAAGCUAGGUGAAGAGGUGAUUUAAAGACUUCACUCGACCAAGAUAUCACUAUACCUGGAUUCCUUUAAAUCAUUUAAGAGGUUCUGCAGCUUCUCCAGAGAAAGGCAGUAGUGGCUGGUGCUAGGUUAUCUUCUACGAAGUGCUUGCCAUCAUUUGUAUGUUAGUGUCAUCAUCGUUACCAGCAUCAUCUAUUAAUACAAAAUGUAGAGUUUGAGCAAAGAUGAGAUUGUACUUUCCCAGAGAAUUUUUUUUUUUCAAUUUUGUGUCGAUGCUGUACGCUUAUACAAAAUGUAAAGAAAAUUAUUCAGGAAAUUUCUCCGUCUUGUCUGCC